GGGGGUGAGUUGGGUUCGACGGGAAUGAAAGAUGUACAGAUAGCAAGUCCGAGUUGAUCGAUGGCUCGGUUACAAAUCGAUCAAAAAAGAAACGACAAACAAAUCGUUCCUAACAGCAUGAUCAGACCGGUUAUGCCGGCAUUCAUGCCAAUAGCUGCUUAAUUGUCAGCUACGGUUUACCUUUGAUACCUGCUAUUAGGAUAAACCGACAAGAGCGGGUUAGUAUUAAUUUGCUUGUUCCGUCAGGUUAAUAUGAAAUUUUAACGGUACUGGUUUAUAAGACAAUUCCGUCUGGUAACGGUUUUAUAAACGAGAUAUAUUUUCCAGACUAAACUUGUAGUGAUCUUACUGAAACUUUUUCGGACGCGGGUUCAAUUCCCGCCACCUCCACCA
rnacentral:tmRNA from 1 species